GAUGAACGCUGGCGGCGUGCCUAAUACAUGCAAGUCGAGCGAACAGACGAGGAGCUUGCUCCUCUGACGUUAGCGGCGGACGGGUGAGUAACACGUGGAUAACCUACCUCUAAGACUGGGAUAACUUCGGGAAACCGGAGCUAAUACCGGAUAAUAUAUUGAACCGCAUGGUUCGAUAGUGAAAGACGGUUUUGCUGUCACUUAUAGAUGGAUCCGCGCCGCAUUAGCUAGUUGGUAAGGUAACGGCUUACCAAGGCGACGAUGCGUAGCCGACCUGAGAGGGUGAUCGGCCACACUGGAACUGAGACACGGUCCAGACUCCUACGGGAGGCAGCAGUAGGGAAUCUUCCGCAAUGGGCGAAAGCCUGACGGAGCAACGCCGCGUGAGUGAUGAAGGUCUUCGGAUCGUAAAACUCUGUUAUUAGGGAAGAACAAAUGUGUAAGUAACUAUGCACGUCUUGACGGUACCUAAUCAGAAAGCCACGGCUAACUACGUG
rnacentral:rRNA from 1 species